GGACCAUCAUGUCGGUCGUGCCUCGGUACGUACUGGUAUUGUUGGUUUCUCCCUUCUGACGAACCAUGAUGUCAUUUAUUUGGUGUUGUGGGGAAUCAGGACUGUUACUUUGAAAAAAUUAGAGUGUUUAAAGCAGGCUUUAUAUGCUUGAAUACGUUAGCAUGGAAUACUAGAAUAGGACGUUUGAUUCUAUUUUGUUGGUUUCUAGGAUCGACGUA
rnacentral:rRNA from 1 species